UCGUAUUACUCGUAUAAUGCUCGUACUCUGCAAAGGUGCUUCAUCUCGUUUCAGUCUAGUAUCCAGCUCCACUCUAGUUAGAGCCGACUGAGUAAAAACAAACCUCCGACAGGCAGAGACAGGGGAGAACGAACCAAGCAGCGACACGUUUGCUUCGCCUCGCACUGGUUCAUGUUUCGACACAAGCUUCGAAGCAGGAGAGUCGGACACAACAACACUACCGAAAAGUGCGUGAAAGUACUCGAACAAGCUCCACAACUCUCACGUCGGGGUUCCGAGGGGAAGUUUGUCCGGCAGCAGAGCGACGUAAACGGGCUGAUGAACCCGCGGCUACCGGCCCCAAUACUCUGGAGGAGAUGAUCUGCAGCAUCCUGGUGAUCUUCAUCCUGACCUCCUGUGUCUGUGGUCAGUUCACUUUAGUGUUUGUAAAGCAGCUGUGAAGCAUCAGCACACACUCCUCAGAAACAUCUGGAGAUGGAGUCUAAAGGCUCCAUGUUAAAGCUGUCACUUUGUCACCUCCUCCUCUCCUUCUCU